CCCCCUUUGAUCGGAGAUUCUCCGGGAUCGGAUUCUGUGAUUGGCGGUGAAUGUCGCGCUUUUUUUUUUGCCCCCCCCCCCUUCGGUGCGGCGGGCUCUCGUUCCCCAUUUGUCUUUCUUCAGCCGAUCGGCUUGUCUUUUGUUCUGCCUGAUUGCUGUGGAUUGCUGUUGCUAGCAUUCGUCCCAUGUUGUUGGUUGCUCGGUCGCUUCGAUUCCCCUGUCGGUUCGGGUCUGCAUAGGUCGAAUGGGAGUUGAAAUCCGGUGAUGCGGGAAGAGUUUCCGGAAUUCUCGGUCAUCUCGGGCGAUUUUGAUUUAAAAAAAAAAAAUGUAGCAACUGGUUAUGCGCGACAUACAUUGUAGUGUCGACCUCGAAGGGGAACUUUACAGUACCCAAAUAGCCUCGGUGCUCUGGUCCAUGCUUUUCAGCCAGCCACGGCGUCUCCAGUUUAUGCAAUUAAAGCUGAAACAAUCUCCCUUCUCAGAACUUCUAAUUCAGCAGUACCGAUUGAAGGCUUACUGAAAACAAAAUCAAAGAAUGUCAUGAGCUCGUGCUUGCUCUAUGCGGCAAUCCGCUUUAAGAUCAUGAUGCUGUCUUUAGCAAAGGCCUCAGUCGUGUUUCAAUGCAGGUGGACAUCAGAAGAUGACUUCCCUUUAUGAUUAUAGGCAACCUUUUCAUUGUUGCUUUAGUAUCUAUGAUUAUAUUGGAUCGUUCAUCUUUUUUUGUAUUUGCGUGAUUGCACAUAAUAUGGGCGUCCAUGGCUAUUAAUCAUGCAAGUUCACUACAUGCUUCGCUUUAUCAUCUGCUGUGUUCAUCUUGCCUCUCCUCUACAAGAUUCUUGAUCAAGGUCUACGCUUACUUCAUGGUUUCGAAAGUGGCGUUGAAAUUUUAUGCAAGACAAUUUAGCCAACAUUCUAUUUUGCUCUGCUGUAAUUAAUCGAUGGAAUUGUAGGUGCCUUUUCUAUGCAAUAUGUUAAUUUGUCUGUCAAGGUUGGCAUCUUGCUUUCUACAACUAUUAAACUCUGUCUCUCAAAAAAAAAAAUUUAUUAGUGCCAAUGGACUAUAACUUCCAAAGCAAUUGAAGAUCGUCUUUAUGCUGAAGCUGUAAAAUCCUUUGUUGGAAGAUUAUGAACUUUGACCAGUAUAUGAAUUAAAAGAAAAUUUAUUCCUUCGUAUGAACAGCAAUUUUAUGCUCUUUCUACGAUAAUGAAAAUGUUAAUGGGUGCUCCUAGACACUUUUUAACUACAAUGAACAUGCUAGGAAAAUAUAACUGUCGUUUUUGUGCAUCCAGUUCUCUUAUAAUCUCUAUAUUAUUGACUUUGCACAUUUGAAACAUCAUGAAAAUACAAUGUUUCUUCCUGUAGUAGUGCUUGACAAGUGCGUGGAGAUACCGUUAAGAAAUGCCUUUUGAUGAUCUCUCUUAGCUAUCCAACGGAUGGAAAGGAAAGACUUUUUUGGAGUCCUUUCAGUCAAGAAUCGGGGCAUCAUAGUCGCUAGUCAUCAUGCGUCGUCCACUAUGCCCUACUUUAUUCGAGAUAGGAGAUGACGAUUUCCUAGGUGUAAAGGAACCACACAGAUCCAAGCUUAACUGGGUGGUUGAACUUUACUGGGGUGACGGUAAUUUGGGGGAGGUCUUCCGGAAAAAUCAGCUCGAUGUGAGGAUGGUAGAAAGUUAUAAUAGUUUAAUCGGAGUGGCCUGUUACUGAUUGAUUAGACGAGGAGCACCUUGUGUCCAGCGAUGUUGAUCGAACCUUCCCCUUCUUACCAUGGUCUUGCUCACCGGACUAGGUUUUUCGUCUGUUGAAUUUAGAUUUGUUACUUAAUGUUCUUUGUUCUACUUAUCAUGUGACAACUUUUCUGGUGUCAGCAACAAUUUCACUGCGAUAGAGUUUCCGGUUUGGCCUUUUGCCUUUGUUGUUAACGUAUCUCUCGCUAUGCGAGCCAUGUCAGUUGUUGUUUGUUUUUGCUGAUUCUGAUGGUAUUAACUGCAUUGAAUUGUCUAUAAUUGUGGUGUAUAAUGGGCUUUAUGUUGAAAUUUGGGAUUGCAGACCUGUUGUAUAGCACUUGCAGCUCCUUCUGGACUGAA